rnacentral:rRNA from 1 species
GACAGAGGGUGCAAACGUUGUUCGGAAUUACUGGGCGUAAAGCGUGUGUAGGCGGCCGCGUAAGUCGGGUGUGAAAGCCCCAGGCUUAACCUGGGAAGUGCACUCGAAACUGCGUGGCUCGAGUAUCGGAGAGGUUGGUGGAAUUCUCGGUGUAGAGGUGAAAUUCGUAGAUAUCGAGAGGAACACCGGUGGCGAAGGCGGCCAACUGGACGAAUACUGACGCUGAGACACGAAAGCGUGGGGAGCAAACAGG